GCACCAGAGGACCAGGGACAGAGAGAGAGGGAUCUGGGGCAGAUCUGAGAGAUACAAGGACAGAGAGAGAUGGUGGGAGCGAGACAAAGACUGGGAUGGGGACAAGGAAAGCUUCCUGGGGCUUUACCCAUACUCCAAUGAUCCUACACACCCUCAUGCAUCUUUGAUGGCAAACGACUCAGUGCAGUACAUGGCAUACCACGGCAGCCGCUACGCCAGCACCUUCCCUCCAGGGUGUGGCUUUCCCCCUGGUACUAUGUUCCCUGGUACCAUGCCCCCUGGUACAGUGCCCCUGCCCCACUGUACCAGUGCCCCUGGUACAGUGCCCCCAUGCCCCCUGGUACAGUGCCCCCCCUAUCCACUGUACCCCAACUGCCCACCUUAUUACUAUAAUGGCACUUCAGAAACGUUUUUCCAGCCAUACACACAGGCCACUGGAAACCCCCAGUUCACAAACACGGAUGUACAAGUGCAGUACCCAGACGCAUCCCUGAGCAUCCCUGAACAGGACAUAGAGACUGUGUGGCCCAUACUUGUCCAUCCCAGCAUGAACCRAGACUCAAACCCUGCUAGACUAAACCGGUUGAGUAUAAAAAUGCAACUAAAGAGGCAACGCUAUAGGAAUAAUUUGAGUAAUCGCAAAAAUAUACAGGAAUUGAGACAGCUUAAAGAAACUCCUCUGGUGGCUGCCAAGGURCCCCCCUCUGAGCCAGGUACAAAGAAAGUGCCAGAAAUAGAUGCAGUCAUAGAAGGGGAGAAACUGCAUUAUGUGGUCCCUCCUGUGGCUACAAAGGAUUCUGGGGCACCCUAUAGAACAGGAUUCCCAAAUAGAAAAUGGAGAAAAGGGAAAAUAUUGGAAGAAAAAGAAAGUAUAUUCAACCAAGGUUUAUCCAUGAGAAACAGAGCCUAUAUGACAAGGUGGAAAGUGCGUUUUGCAGAAGCGGUUGCAAAAGGCCUUGAGGUCCCCUCUGAACCAGAGCCCAAGACGGAGCCAGAAGCRGAGGACAAAUCAUUGACAGAAUGGCAGAGACUGUUUGCAGACUCUGUGGAGAAUGUGGCCGCAACGGACCUAUUUGCCCUCUCUGAACCAGAGGCUGAGAAAAAGCCUGACUGGGAGACCGAGCAGAAAAGGACAGACGAAGAGAUGAAGGCCAAAUUAAAGAAAAAGCUUGGCGAGUUCAACCUGAAGAUGAAGCAGAAAUCAACGCAUUUAAAAGAAGCCCCAACAGAAGCCCCAACAUAACCUGAAAGGGCGGCUGCUGUAGGUAAAACAUGUGUUCAUAUCACACCUUAAAAAUGCGUCAUGAGCUCACCUCCCCUUCGAACCUGCUGCUGACCCAUCCAGACCCUGUGGACAUCCGUUGGCUAACAUUCUGUUUAUCUAAUAUACACUCACUGGCCAGUUUUUAUUAGGUACAUACCGGGCCGGAUCCUCCUUUUCCUCCAGAACAGCCUGAAUUGUUCGGGGCAUUCUACACGUUGUCUGAAACGUUCCACAGGGAUGYUGGUUCACGCUGACGCGAUGGCAUCACGCAGUUGCUGCAGAUUGGACGGCAAUACAUUCAUGCUGCGAACAGCCCAUUCCAUCUCAUCCCAAAKAGGCUGUACUGGGUUGAGGUCUGAGGACUGCGCAGGCCACUCAAGUAAACUGAACUUGCUGUCAUGCUCCAGGCAAUGUUUUUUCCACUCCUCGAUUGUCCAGUGCUGAUGAUCACAUGCCCWCUGGAGCUGCUGCUUCUUGUUUUUAGCUGGUAAGAGUGGAACCCGGUGUGGUCGUCUGCUGCAAUAGCCCAUCCGUGACACGGAUCGACAAGUUGUGCGUUCUGAGAUGCUGUUCGGCACACCGCUGCUGUACUGCGCCACUAUUUGUCUGUUUGUGGCCCGCCUGUUAGCUUGCACGAUUCUUGCCGUUCUCUUUUGACCUCUCAUCAACGAGUUGUUUUCGCCAACAGGACUGCCGCAGAAUGGAUGUUUCUUUGUUUGUCGCACCAUUCUCGGUAAACUCUAGACACUGUUGUGCCUGAAAAGCCCAGGAAGGUGGCCGUUUCUGAUACAGGAGUGUCUGGCACCGACGAUCAUAACAUGCUUAAAGUCGCUUAGGUCAGUUGUUUUGUCCAUACUAACGUUCAAUGGAACAGUAACUGAAUGCCUCAAUCCMUGUCUCCCUGCUUUAUAUAGCAAGUCACGGSCACGUGACUCACUGUCUGUAAGAGUGGUCCAUUUUCGUAAAUGGAGUGGUGUACCAAAUAAACUGGCCGAUAAGUGAGUUGUU